UACGAAGGGGGCUAGCGUUGUUCGGAAUUACUGGGCGUAAAGGGCGCGUAGGCUGUGCUGUAAGUCAGGCGUGAAAGCCCCGGGCUCAACCUGGGAAUUGCGCUUGAUACUGCGGCGCUGGAAGGUGGGAGAGGAUGGCGGAAUUCCCAGUGUAGAGGUGAAAUUCGUAGAUAUUGGGAAGAACACCGGUGGCGAAGGCGGCUCACUGGCUCGUAACUGACGCUCAUGCACGACAGCGUGGGGAUCAAACAGG
rnacentral:rRNA from 1 species